GUGCCAGCAGCCGCGGUAAUACAGAGGGUGCAAGCGUUAAUCGGAAUUACUGGGCGUAAAGCGUGCGUAGACGGUUACAUAAGUCGGGUGUGAAAGCCCCGGGCUCAACCUGGGAAUUGCAUUCGAGACUGCGUAGCUAGGGUGCGGAAGAGGGAAGCGGAAUUUCCGGUGUAGCGGUGAAAUGCGUAGAUAUCGGAAGGAACACCAGUGGCGAAAGCGGCUUCCUGGUCCAGCACCGACGUUCAGGCACGAAAGCGUGGGGAGCAAACAGGAUUAGAAACCCGAGUAGUCC
rnacentral:rRNA from 1 species